rnacentral:tRNA from 1 species
AGAGGUGUAGCUCAAUUGUAAAAUGUACGUGCUUAGCAAGCACAAAGCCUGGGUUCAAUCCCCAGCAUCACAG